GCUCCGGACGCGACCAGCUGUCUCCACUUACCCUCAUCACCACCAUGGCCUCUUAAGGAGUUCCUGGACCUCCACUCGACGCCAGUUCGUUUUCCUCCCACGGAAUAAUCUACUCUGGAUCUCACCUGGUCGCUGUCCCCUGGUUCCACGCUGUCCCUCGUCUGGAAUCCUGCUGCUGCUCUCCUCCAGCCAGCUGCUGCGCCCCUGUUGGAAAGAAGCCUAAGACUCACCUUUCUAUAUAAAGACUUCUUAACUCA